GAGGAGGGGGGACUUCUAUUAUUGAGGCAGUUGUUGGUAGUGGGCUGGGAGCUGGGAAUAGUGAAAUGGAGCAGUUCAUGCACUCAUAAACAGAGAGUGCGGUGGAGCAGAAGGGAGGUGGAGGGGCUGCGGGGUCGAGGGAGAGAGAAACGAGGAAAAGGAGAAUAGGAGAGGGGCCCCGAGGGUGAGCGGGAGAGAGGAGCCAACUCCACGUGUUUUGGCCCACUGCUAACUGAUAGCACGUUUUAGACCAUUACGUCAUGGUCUGCCGGUCUCUGUGCUGUUUGAGACUCACUGCUGUGGGAUCACAUUCUUCAUGGAAGACGGCCCGGGGUAAUGACACCUGUUGUUGAAGGACUGAGAGUCUGUUAAAAGACGGUACAUGGAGCGUUUAUGAGCAGUGACAGGCUGUGUUAACGAUUGCAUACCAUAAAGGAAACAGUUUAACGUGAUUUAAUUAAGACAUAACAGACUUUUUAUGAUGUUUCUCAGCUUAAACUGAAUACAGCUUAUGCUUGUGCUCAGUUUUGAAAUUGUCACUUUUCUUGGGUUUGUGAGCACAGUCUUCAUGAUGCCAGCCAAACAACCCGCAGGAUUUUUCAGCAAUCACAUUUUUAUUGCUUCACCACUAGAAAAGCAUGUUUUCCAAAGUGGAGCACCCCCUUUUAUUGCACAUUAAGGUCAUUAACUGUAAGCACUAUCCAGCCUAUAAAACUAUAACAUGUCUUAACCCCUAAUGGAGACGCACAGAUUUGAAAUGCAAUCCUAAUGAUGUCAGAUGAGGGUUGCAUCGUGGAGCUUGACCACUUCUCAGUCUAUGUAUUACAACAUUUAACAUUUUCUUAAUUAGUUUUGGUCUCAAAUGCUAGUUUCACACACCCAUAAUAACUUUUUAAGUUUCAGACCUACAUAUAAAGUUGCAUCAUUAAAGGUGGGACUGAGUGGUGGUGGGAUUCUGCAGCUGUUGGACAGGUAACCCCACCUCAGCUUUACUAUUAAGAUUGAGUCACCAGCCCAAAAUUGUUGGUCUUCAAAGCAGCACUUUAAAAACCAAUGGCUGAUUUUGUAGAGGCUACAACUCUUUUUUAUACAGUCCAAAUCUUUAUCCAAAUAUGGUUACUUUUAGCAGUAGCCCAAGGCGUAAACAAACUAAGCGCCUGCUUAGGGCCCCGCAGCCAGUAGGCAGCCCCCAAGAGCAAUCAAAAAAAUAAAAAUAUAUUAUUAUUAUUUGCAUGUAUGAGUGAUGCUUUAUGUGUGAUCAAAGACAUAUUAUUGUAAAAAUAAAAUAAAACAUUUUAGUGCUGCUGCUGAUGUAGGCCUAUGAUUCUUACUGCCGAUAUGUUAAAGCUCCACCAACGUUUUAUGCCUCCUGUUGUGCAAUGUGCACUAAGCAUCCUGAAUGUGUUACAUUUUGAGAUUAAAACCAUAUGUGGCACCCUGUACAUCAUUCAUCAGUCAUUCAUUGGUAUUAUCUGUAUGGUUGCAUUGGUAUUAUUAAUGUCAUUACCUAGGCCACCCCCUUAAAUGUGUAGACAUGUCAGGUGCACUAAAUUUAUACAGUAGGAGGUAUGUGAAUGAUCAACAAUCAAUAUUAUUGGCAGAAAUAGUGGCCCCAAAAUCAAAUUUUGCUUAGGGCUCCAUUGAGGCUUGGGUCGGCUCUGACUUCUAGCUCCAAAAGACUGUGUCAACCCCAUAGUGAUACUGUCUUUAAUACAGAUCCAAGAUUUUGGAGUCGCCUUUUUAUUAAUUAUCGUCAUUUGUCAGCAUCUUCACAUUUUCAUUUAGUCUAUAGCUCCACCUUACAAUACAUCCAGACCUCCCAACUUGAGUCCAAAUCCCUUUCCCUAAAGAAAAGCAGACUAAAUUCAGAUGAUUCAUACUAAACAGUCCUCUUUUUCCCAGCACCCCAGAGAGACACACAAAGAAACAGGGGGACUCUCCCACACUCUAUCUCUGCUUGCCUCUCUGUCUGCGCUUACACACACGUUUUCUUCAGAGUGACAUGUGAUGUAGUGUCUGAUUAAAUCACACUAAAGGAAACAAAAGACAACAAGGUCGUAAAUUAUUUGAGUCUACAUGCCCCCUACAGGUGUAGGUGACAUUUGACCCCGCUCAGUCCGGACAGUGAUGAGGGAAGACAAACUGGUGUUGCAUGACGGCGAAUUAAACAAGCACAACAAAAUUAAACUGACGUCAUUAUGAAAUGAUGUGAAAAACUGUCUUUGCUGAAUGCCUCAGUUUAAACAGAUUAAGGACGUACCAGGAACCCUGUUUCCUCAGCAAAUCCAUCAUAGUUGAUUAGUGUCAUAUCCACCCUUCCCUCAUGGUACCCCACCCAUGCUGCUGUGACUACGCACCAUUUACCAAGAGCAGAUAUAGUGUAUUCAGUAGUCUAUAACACAGAAUUGGUCUUUACUCUCUGGGGACAUUCUGGACAUUCCUGCUAUUGUUGUUUCAUUACCAGGCUGAGGGUUACUCUUGCCAUUCACUCUGGCUGACCUCUAGAUUAACAGGCGGAGCUGCUGGGGACCAUGUUCCUGAAAUAAAUAGAUGUGAGCUCUUUCUUUAAAAGUCAUGGUGUACAUUUUUGCUAGUGGGUCCCAUAAAACACUUAUGUUUUGAUUUGUCUGACUCUCCUAGAAUAAAAAUGGGAAACAGCUCACCACUCUGAGAGACUGAUUGAGCAAAUGGUUCAAUAAAAAAGUUCCACAGAGAGAAAACUUUUAGGUAUUUCAUUGUCUUUAGAUCUCCGUUCAUAAUUGAUAAGGCCAAAAACUUAUCCUGGAUAUGACUGAGGUGGCAGUCACUGCAUCAGUUCAAAAAACCAUCACCUGGAAAAACAGUUCAUCACUGCAUCCAUAGCUGCAAAUUAAAACCGUACCAUGCAAAGAGGAACCCAUAAAACAUGAUUCAGAAACACCUGCAAGUUUUCUUGGCCGAAGCUCCUUUAAAAUGGACUGAGUUGGAGUCAAAAACUGUCCUAUGAUCAUGAUUUGAACUUCUUUUUGGAAAUCAUAGGUGCCAAAUCCUCUGCUGUAAAGAGAAGAGAAACUGUUACACUUGUUCUCAGCACACUGUUCAUAAACCAGCUGACUGAUGUGGUGCUGAACACUAUAUGCUAGUUUUGGAGCAACAUAUGCUGCUCUCCAGAUAAUAUCUUUUACAGGGAAACCUUUGCCUGCAUAUUUCAACAAGACAAUGCCAAACCAAACAUGGCUCUAUAAAGGAUCCCAGAUGCUAAAUUGGCUUACCUGCAGUCCACAUCGAAUUUCAACUGUUGUAUAUGUGUAUUAAAAACUACUGGGUAUGUUUUCUUCUGACCAAAAGUCCAAGAAGAUGACACUUACUGACUUUCAUCCAGGUCGGCUGGUCUUGGAAGUAUAUCGACUAAUAAACUGGCAGCAACAAUAUAUAAUAGACUCUAUCUGUUAGAAUAAUACCGGUUUUUCCUUCAUGCAUCAUGUUUAGAUUUACCGAUUAUGUUGUGUAUUUACCACCCGUUAAGUUCCCGACAUGAGUCUUCUGAACAUUGUCCUGUGAAGAUAAGCCUUCAUCAGUGACUCUUUCAGCAGAGCAGUUUUUCUACAACAUCUGUUUCUGGACCCAAACUCCCCUUUCCUUUCUUUAGAUCAUUUCCCCACUCUGCUCUCUUAUCUCUCCUUGUUUCCUGAAUGUGUAUUUACUAAUGCAAUCAACCCCUCACAGUAGUGAUGAUAUUUGUUUACUCUUCUAUCCCCAGUGUUUUCUGUUAACUGUUCAUUUCAAGGCGUGAAGUGCUUACAGCGAUCUGUUGCAGUUUAAUGAGAUGUGUGAGUGUGUUUGAAUGUAUGGGGGUCUCUGUGUGUGUGAGGAUGAGAAGUGCAGCUGCAGCUCCAAAAUCAA